rnacentral:rRNA from 2 species
GGACUACCCGGGUAUCUAAUCCUGUUUGCUCCCCACGCUUUCGUGCAUGAGCGUCAGUCUUGACCCAGGGGGCUGCCUUCGCCAUCGGUAUUCCUCCACAUAUCUACGCAUUUCACUGCUACACGUGGAAUUCUACCCCCCUCUGCCAAACUCUAGCCGUGCAGUCACAAAUGCAGUUCCCAGGUUAAGCCCGGGCAUUUCACAUCUGUCUUACACAACCGCCUGCGCACGCUUUACGCCCAGUAAUUCCGAUUAACGCUCGCACCCUACGUAUUACCGCGGCUGCUGGCAC